AAACAUUAUCAGUAUUGGAGGAGAAUCUCAAAAUAUAUGUCUUUACCAGCAAGCUAAAGGGACCAGAUAGAUAUUUCUUCUCUCUAUUUCAUGGGAGGUAUAACUAUAUGACUGAGUCUUGACCGAUCAGGUGCUCCCAUGCUGGGCUCAAAUUUCAAGGAAGUAAUGAAAUUAUACAGGUGGCUGUUGGAGAUUUCUCAUGAGGACAGCUGAAUCAGGAGUCCCUCAAUGCAGAGAUGGUUUGAAGAUGAAUGGCUGAGUAGAAAACACUUUCAGAUCCCCACAUAGGCAACGGCAGAAAAGCUCCAAGUGUGAUAUUACAAAUAUGUAUUGUCAUCGAAGACAGAAAUAUUUGCCUUGUCCACCCAAAAGCACAAUGAUCGUAUGGGUUGAUUGUAUUUUCUUCUCUAUGUAUUAUGUGCAGAAUUUCCCUUCAACAAAAGAAGGGAGGAAAGAAAACUAACCCUGCAUUGUAGGCUUCUGCUCUAUUUUAGGAGAGGAAAGAUACUCAAAGACAAAAACCAGCAAGAAAUGGCAUUUGACUUGCAAGCCUUUAGGAGAUGUGCAUAAACAGAGAAGCUCAAAGGGAGGCAGAGAAACCAGGAUGCCAUCGUUGAUUAUGUCCUUCCAGCAACUGCAACCGUGCCUCAAUUUGCAGGGAAAUACAUUCCUCUUCAUGGACCCUGUUCUGGGACCCAUAGCAUGCUCCAGGCUGCAGCCCAGACAGGAAGGUGUCCAAUAUGUCUUUGAGUUCCAUCUUGGGGAUCUCAUGUGAUCUCUGGUGUGUUAGUGAGUGGGCAGGGCCCCUGGAUCCCAGCACUGACCUCAGUUACAUGAAGAGUCUGAGUCCAUGGCAGGAUCUGGGCCCACAGUCUUCUCACCAACCCAGAGGCAGAAACAGACUCUACAAGCAACAUGGAAUGGCAGUGCUUUGUAUCUACAUUUAUUAGUUUUUAAAAAAUUAUAAAAUCUGGCUGGGUACGGUGGCUCAUGGCUGUAAUCCCAGUGCUUUGGGUGGCCAAGGUGGGAGGUUCCCUUGAGCCCAGGAGUUAGAGACCAGCCUGGGCAACAUGGCAAAACCCUGUCUCGACAUGGCUAAAUAAAAAAAUUAGCCAGGCAUGCUGGUACACACCUGUAGUCCCAUCUACUUGGGAGGCUGAGGUGGGAGGAUCACCUAAGCUCAAGAGUCCAAGGUUACAGUGAGCUAUGAUUGUGUCACUGCACUCCAGCCUGGGCAACAGAGUGAAACUUUGACUCUUAAAAAAAAAUUAUAAAAUCGGUGUUUGUUUUACAAGAAUUUGAAAUUCUAAGCUAUAUAAAAAGGAAAAUAAAUAUCACCAUAAUCCCACUGCCAGGGAGUGCCACGGGGUACUGGCACUGUUCCUCCAGCCCUGUAUCUGUAUAUGCCUAUAUGCCCAUUUAUACCCAUGUUGGAUAUCAGUAAGGAUUCCCCAGCCUCUCACACUGUUGGAGAGGCUCAACCCUGUUCCAUGCCCUCUAGAAGUCUAAAGUCCUCCCCAAGCCUUCUGGAAAUUCCAUGGGGUCUUCAGUCCUCAGGAUCACCCCUGCCCCCAAGCAUGGAUUUCUAUAGCUAAUUUCCUGGUGUUGUUCCGUUUUUCAUGAACACAGAUGGAGAGUACGUCUUACCCUGGGUUUCUACCCUAAAUCUGCACUCACACAGAUCAAUUAUUGAUGGGGUGGACUUCACUGAAAAUUUUAGGAGGGGGUGGAGUUGGAGUUAGUUUGAAACCACAGUAGCAGCCAAAACACCAGGCAUCUUUGUGUCCUCCAGGCAGCUACCAGGCAGAGUAUCUGUGACUUCUUCACCCUGGGAGGCCUCAGACUCACACCUCCAGGCUCCUGGCUUCCCCCUUGGUUCCAUGCCCCUCCCCCAGCCCUCCCCACCAGCGGCCCCCAAAGCAUCUCUUCUGUUUCUUUGCCCCCCUCCCCUAUGGUCUUCCUUCUAAUGCAAGGAAGUUGCUUAUAAAGGACUUUGUUUAAAUAAGGACCGUUCUUAUAGCAACUGUUACAAUAACAAAAAUCUUGAGAUCAUACUCUACAUACAUUCUUUAUUCUGCCUUUUUAAAUUGAGCGUUACACUUUUAGCACUUUCCCAUAUCAUUAAAUAUUUAGCAGCACUGGAUUUCAUCAAAAAGAUGCACCAUCAUUCAUUUCUCCAUUCCACUAUUUUUGGAUAUUCUUUGCUUUGGGGAAAUUUACAAAGCAGAAAUUAUUAGCUCGAGGAGUGUGAAUAUUUCUAAGGUCCCAUACUAAUUGCCAAAUUGUCCUCCAGAAAGGUUAUGUCAAUUUGCACACUCUGAAGCUCUAAAUGAGAGUGUUGAGUGACUUUAUUCUUUAAACAGUUUGCUAACUUGACAUUGUCUGUGGAAGAGACUAUUUUAGGUCAGUAAAAUAUCUGGUCAGAGUCACAGCCACAGAGAGCCCAGGGUGUGAGGGAGCUUUUGGCCUUGGGGGACUCCAGGGCCCUGGGGCAGUUGAUAAACCUCCCAGGACCUCCGGUGCUUCUCCGUAGCCUGGCUCCCACUGGCUCCAGUGCUCAAAGCAAAUUCUUCCCCCAAGCCCUGCAACUUUCCCUGGGGUAGCUCUCAUUCCACCUCUAUAACCAGGAAGGGCCCCUUGGGUAGGCACCCCUCAGCAAAUACCCCUAGCUUGUCCUCAGCAGAUGUGGUUGGCGGUGGGCAAACUGGCCUUCUCCCCUGCUCAGUAGGGAACUGGACUUCUGGACCCACCCAGACUCAUUUCUCUCUAUGUCAUUGUGUCAGAGGUGUUUGAACCAGAGGAACUCCAUCUUAAAUAGGAGCUGGGUAAAAUGAGGCUGAGACCUCCUGGGCUGCAUUCCCAGAUGGUUAAGGCAUUCUAAGUCACAGGAUGAGAUAGGAGGUCAGCACAUAAAGACCCUGCCAUAAAGACCCUGCUGAUAAAACAGGUUGUAGUAAAGAAGCCAGCUAAACCCCACCAAAACCAAGAUGGCCAAGAGAGUGAUCUCUGGUCAUCCUCACUGCUACACUCCCACCAGUGCUAUGACAGUUUACCAAUGCCAUGGCAACAUCAGGAAGUUACCCUAUAUGGUCUAAAAAGGGGAGGCAUGAAUAAUCCACCCCUUGUUUAGCAUAUUAUCAAGAAAGAACCAUAAAAAUGGGCAACCAGCAGCCCUCAGGACUGCUCUGUCUAUGGAGUAGCCAUUCUUUCGUUCCUUUACUUUCUUAAUAAACUUGCUUUCACUUUACAGACUUGCCCUGAUUCUUUCUUGCGUGAGAUCCAAGAACCCUCUCUUGGGAUCUGGAUUGGGACCGCUUUCCUAUAACAGUUGGAGUUUGGAAGAGAUGAACAGCCUCCAUUUCCCCAUCCCCCCAUCCCUCCAGCAGAGAAUAUAGGGUCACUUUCCCCCUUCCUAAAGGCUACAGAGGCUCACAGCAGCAGAGCCUCGAGUACUACCCCCCUUUCCUUUUCUGAAAUGAGAGAUGUCCAGGGAAUCGGGGACAUCUUUCCCUCUUCUCUCUGUUAGGAUGCUAGUGAGUUCUGCUUUUCCCACUUUGUGAGCAAAGCACACAUGUGCACAGCUAACAAGCCAGAUGAUUUCUAAAUAAACUAAAAAUACUGCCUUAUCUCAGAGGCCUGUGCUGAAGGAGCUUGUUUAGAGUAUCGGAUGAACAUUUACAAAUAGAAAAUCCUUCCGAGUUACCUGCUGUUACACCCCAUGGCUUCCUCCCCUGGAACACAGCAAAGGACCUGGGGUGACUGGAGCAAGUGGCCAUCAGGGUUUGGUGAUACUGCGUCUGAUUUGUCCUCUCCUCUAGACUCGAGACAACUCCAGGGCAGAUCCUGGAGCCUCAGCCCCAGUCCAGGGUCUGGUACAUAGAAGGCGCCCCACAAGGGUUGGUGGUUGGUGGGAACACAGCAAAGUGGGAAUUCCUUGGCUGGUACUGUGCAGGUGAUUGAAGCCAGCUGCCUAGGGUUAAGAUAUCCCAUUUCCCAGUCUGGGUAGGAGAAACCCAGGUACAUGUUCACACAUGUCCACUCUGUUUGCCUCUCCCUCCCAUCCGGAGUCCUUCCACAGUGUCCCCUCCUUGGGACAUCUGCUUCCCCAGCAUAUGCCUCUGGGGCACUUUGCUGCAGAAUGGAAGAAGAUCAAGUGCUCUCCUGUUCCAGGUCAGGCACUUUGGAUUUAACCUUGAGGCAGAGGCUCAGCUGCCCUGACAACCCACAGCUCAUUUCUACAGCAACACCUCCUGCAAAGGUAGCCCAGCACGUCCUUGGCCACCAGCUUCCUGCGGUGAUAAAAAUAGCUGAGGCCCCGCAGCUGCUGAAUGAUGAAUUCUGGAAGGAGAUGAUUGAUUCUCACAGCUGAGUCUCGGGGUCAGCGAGUGUUGUGCAAGUGGAGACGCCGGGGUGAAGGAUGGGGGUUCUGCUAUAGAUAGAACUGUUGACAGAGUGAUCCUGGGCUUCUCCCCACCUGAGGGGAACAUAAACUGAGCUAAUUAAAAGGAACUGCAAAGGGCUGUUGGAAAUGAUGCAGACGCGUGCAUCCUUUGCUUUCAGACCAUCUUUGACCUUUUUGGAAUGUGCAGUCAUUUCCCCUCCUUCCUUCUGGCACAAGAUUCAAAGUGGGGAGAAAGUGUUCAUUUCCAGGGAAGGCAAUGGGGUGGUAAAGUGAGAGGAGUGCCUGCUUUCCCUAAAACAAUGGUGAGGAACUGUCAGGGCUUAUGAAACACCACAGGGACACCAAUGUCAGGCAGCACCUAACAGCCUGGAAUUAAAAUCUGCUCCCCGCUUGCUCAGGCUGGAGGAGUGCUCCUGCUGGCCUUGCCAGGGGACUAGCCUGUGAUCUACCAUGGCUGCACUCUGAUUAAUCACAGUGA
rnacentral:lncRNA from 1 species